AGUAAAGUGGCGAACGGGUGCGUAACACGUGGGUAACCUGCCUCGAAGCUGGGGAUAAGCCCUCGAAAGGGGGUCUAAUACCGGGUAACGUCCAAAGAGGGCAUCUUCUUUGGACCAAAGGUAGCCUAUAUUUAUAAGCUAUCGCUUUGAGAUGAGCCCGCGGUCCAUUAGCUGGUUGGUGAGAUAAAAGCCCACCAAGGCUACGAUGGAUAGCCGACCUGAGAGGGUGUACGGCCACACUGGGACUGAGAUACGGCCCAGACUCCUACGGGAGGUAGCAGUAGGGAAUAUUGCGCAAUGCCCAAAAGGGUGACGCAGCAACGCCGCGUGGGUGAUGAAGUUCUUCGGAAUGUAAAAACCCUGUCUAGAGGGAAGAAACUCCUCAAGUCAAAUAGUCUUGGGGACUGACGGUACCUCUGGAGGAAGCUCCGGCCAACUCCGUGCCAGCAGCCGCGGUAAUACGGGGGGAGCAAGCGUUGUUCGGAAUCACUGGGCGUAAAGGGUGUGUAGGCGGGCCGGUAAGUCGGGCGUGAAAACUUCAAGCUUAACUUGGAGCCUGCGUCCGAAACUACCGGUCUUGAGUACGGGAGAGGAAAGUGGAAUUCCUGGUGUUACCGGUGAAAUGCGUAUAUAUUCAGGACGGAACAUCUGGUUGGCGAAGGCCGGCU
rnacentral:rRNA from 1 species